rnacentral:lncRNA from 1 species
AUGCUGCACGUCAUGAAUGCUCAGACUCACUUAGUCUCGCUUGCCCGUGUGUUGCCCCGUCACUCUCAUUGUGCUGAUGACGUUUGGUUGUGCGUGACCGUGUCUGAAGCUGGCGUACAGGUCCUUCAGGCCCUCCCGCUCCCGCUGGAGACGCCUCCGUCUCCACCUCCCCCGGCACCGUCCUCCACCCCUCCCCCACCACCACCACCUCCACCACCACCACCACCACCACCACCACCUCCACCACCACCACCACCACCACAGGUUGCGGCCGCUCCACCGACGGUCGGGCUUCCAGCUCGGGCUCCGGCGCAGACCAGGGUGGAGCCUCGUGUCGUCUCCGUGGAGGAGACGCCGUGCAGGGAGGCCACCCUGGCGCCGGGGCCCGAGAAGAAGAGGAGGAAGACGACGACGGGCGACGUGGAGCAGCCGGCAACGCCCGCUCCUGCUCGGGCUGAGACCCGGUUGGCUGAGGGCUGGCGGACAGCCCUCACCGGGGAAGAGCAGGAGCUGAACAGUAGGACCCUCUCGCUGGGGUUCACCCGGACGCAGCGAGAGAAGGAGAGGGCUGUGUUGACUUCAGGCGUUGCAGCAGACGGAGGACGACCACCGGCGGCGGCCGCGGCGACAGCGCCGGGCCCGGCCUCAGCGGCGGCGGUGGAUCGUCCGGCGGCAGCAGCGACGUCGGCGGUGCCUCAAGGCCGGGCGACGCCAGCGGCAGCGAGGGGGGCGGCGGUGGCCCCGGCAGCGGCCCCGGCUGUGGCAGCACCGGGGCCCGCUCUGCCGGCGCCCAGACGGCUACUGGCGCCUCGACAGCCCGCCCCCUCGGCUGCUUACCCGGCCUUCCUGCCGACGGCUGCUGCCGCAGCUGCAACUGGACCUUUAAGAGCAGCACAGCCUCUCCUUGUGGACCUCUUACUGCCCCGGCAGAGUGUGUGGGUGCUCCCCGUCCCCGUCCUGACGCUCCCUCGGACACUGCCGGCUCCACACGUCCUCCCUCCGCCGCUGGCCGCCGCACAGCACGCCGGCCCUGAGCUGCCUGUAGCCCUGCCCGCCGCGCAGCACGCCGGCCCUGAGCUGCCGGUAGCCCUCAAAACGGUAGAAUGGAGGAGGCUGAACGCCAAGCGGCGGGCGGAGGCACAGCCGGGCACAACCUACUCCUCCCGGGCCGGCGUGCCACAGGUGCAUAAGUGCAGUAAAUGCGGCCAGCCGAGGCGGAGGGAGACCGGACACUCCCGCCACGGCGGAGAAUACUUCUGCUCCGUCGCGGCGGGUCAGAGUGUGGAGGACUGGCUGAGGGAGAAGAAGGAGCGGGACCAGGGUGGAGCCCCGCACUGAUGCGCACUCUUGCCGGGGAUGGUGUUGUACAUAGUUCUCUUUUGUAUAUAGUUGUUUUUCUGUUGUGUGUGUAUAUAGUUAUUUUGCAGUGUUAGUGUAUAUAGUUGUUUGCUGUAUAUAGUUUUCAUUUUGCAGGGUUAUUGUGUAUAGUUCUUUGUUUUGUUGGAUAGCUUCUAAGUUAGUGCACACACUGCCAUAUAUAUAUAUACUGUUUAUGAAUGAAUAAAAAAAUAAGUAUUCUCUUUCUACGGUACAUGCUUGUCCCUUGUUUGUUUUUCUUCUUUAGCAAAAAGUCCACAAUAAUAAUAACGGGCGAUCGCGUCAAAUGACGUAGGACACGAAUGUUCAAGAACCUUCCUACGUCAUUUGACGCGAUCGCCCGUUUCCCGGCAACAGACGAUCGCGUCUGUUGCUAUUCGAUUAAACAAUUAAAUACAAUACAAAUAUAAAGUAAAAACAAGUGUUAACUAGCGAGCCGUUAUCUGUAUUAUGUUAUUUCGUCUUUUGGAACCUGCCCGGCAACAGACGAUCGCGUCGUCUGUUGCCAGGCAGGUUGUCAAGAUGUAAACAACUGAUGACGUAGGCCGGUAAAAUUUUCGCCCCCCGGUACAAUUUUAACGUGACACAGCCCGCUGGGAGAACAACCAUAGACAUCUUAUAGAUGUCUAUGGUUGUUCUCAUCUAUAAGAUGUCUAUGAGAACAACCAUAGACAUCUUAUAGAUGUCUAUGGUUGUUCUCAUCUAUAAGAUGUCUAUGAGAACAACACCCUGGCGUGACAGAACACCCUGGCGUGACGGAAGUACUGUGGAUGGCCGGAAGUUACCUCCGAUUAUUUUCUAUAGACAAAUAAACGUAUUUAUCGCUUGAAUUAACAAAAUAAAUAAAAAAAUAUUUCGACACGUUAGUAACCAUUCUUAUAGCUUAGAAAAGGUUUUUUAACGUUAUUUAGACAAAUACCUCAGGAUUAUUUGCGUUAUUGAACUUAGACCAAAAAUAUUUAAAUAAUAAAACAAUAUUAUGACAUGUCAGUAACCAUUUUUAUAGCUUAGCUUAUAGCUCUGACAUUCGUUACUGUCAAUU